GGGACAGCACAAAUGUUGAAGUUUGGGGAAACAUUUUGUACAACUUUGUUCACUGAAUCACAGUCACUGCUUGUGCUGUUGAUAAUCAAAACUAGGCUGCACAGAGUGACGUAGUCACAUAUUUGGCUUGGGUGUACAGAUGUUUCCCUUCAAGCAUCUUGGAUGUCUUGCUCCUUAUCAGAAUUUUAUCUCCCCCAAAUUCAUUGUUUGUGAAUUAACUGUAAAGUUCUGGGAGCGAUUUCCUUUUCAACAGUUUGCCUUUCUAGAAAAAAACUUUUGGAGUUUAAAUAGCACUUAACCCUCUAUCAUUUUACUCUCUCUGAAGUGGUCUCUGUGGAGAACAUGUUGGGUCUUCUCUGUUCAAUAUCUCUCUCUCUCUUUCUUGGCAAAGCCUGGAUGCGAGAAGUUGGUCCAAUCUUUCCUGUCCAGGGUUGCUUGUUAAUACAGCAUCUGGAGCAAAGGAAAGGCUAUUAGCACCUUGUCACUUGGAGUUUCUUAAGCAUUGUUCCAUUUAUGUGUUCUUUCUGCAGAGAUUUAAUGAAAGUGGCAUCUGUCUUUACACCUGACAUAUGCAGGUUGUCCGCAGAACUGAACAAGUGGUGUCAGCAACACUGUAUAUGCAGGAAGGCUUCAUGCUCACGUCGUUUUUUCUGUGUUCUCU
rnacentral:lncRNA from 1 species